UACGAAGGGGGCUAGCGUUGCUCGGAAUCACUGGGCGUAAAGGGUGCGUAGGCGGGUCUUUAAGUCAGGGGUGAAAUCCUGGAGCUCAACUCCAGAACUGCCUUUGAUACUGAAGAUCUUGAGUUCGGGAGAGGUGAGUGGAACUGCGAGUGUAGAGGUGAAAUUCGUAGAUAUUCGCAAGAACACCAGUGGCGAAGGCGGCUCACUGGCCCGAUACUGACGCUGAGGCGCGAAAGCGGAGGCGGAACGG
rnacentral:rRNA from 1 species